ACACCGGGAAAGUGAACUCAUCUUCGUUGUGCUUUUCGUUAUUUGUCAUUUCAAUUGAAAAUUUUCUAUCUACCGUGUUUUGUGCACUUACGGACUUUAAUUGUAGAAUGGAAAUAAUGUAGAGCGCGAGGCGUACUUUUAUACGUAAAUGUCGCUUCAAAUACUUUAGAUUUUUUAGUUGGUUAUCUAAAUUUACUAGUUAAUUUCGCAAUGCCUUAUCGCAUUCAUACGAGUUGUGGUUCUGGAUGUUGAAGGGAAUGCGGAGCUCUUUUUUUGGAGGAAAGAAUUUUGUUAACUCACAAUAUAUGAAUUCAUGGGUGUGCAUAUCUCAUAUGACUGCUGAUAAACUUGAAAGUUAUUUUAGGCUAUCUAGCACGGUUACAUAUCUAAUCAUUUAACAGCAACAGAUAUAAAAAUAAGAAGUUUGAUACUAAAAUAAAUCGUUUUAAUCAA